CAGAGGGGGCGAGCGUUGUUCGGAAUUACUGGGCGUAAAGGGCGCGUAGGCGGCCUUCUAAGUCGAACGUGAAAUCCCCGGGCUCAACCCGGGAACUGCGUCCGAUACUGGAAGGCUUGAAUCCGGGAGAGGGAUGCGGAAUUCCAGGUGUAGCGGUGAAAUGCGUAGAUAUCUGGAGGAACACCGGUGGCGAAGGCGGCACCCUGGACCGGCAUUGACGCUGAGGCGCGAAAGCCAGGGGAGCAAACGGGAUUAGAUACCCCGGUAGUCCUGGCCCUAAACGAUGAAUGCUUGGUGUGGCGGGUAUCGAUCCCUGCCGUGCCGAAGCUAACGCAUUAAGCAUUCCGCCUGGGGAGUACGGUCGCAAGGCUG
rnacentral:rRNA from 1 species